rnacentral:rRNA from 1 species
CCUACGGGAGGCAGCAGUGGGGAAUAUUGGACAAUGGGGGGAACCCUGAUCCAGCGACGCCGCGUGAGUGAAGAAGUAUUUCGGUAUGUAAAGCUCUAUCAGCAGGGAAGAAAGAAAUGACGGUACCUGACUAAGAAGCCCCGGCUAACUACGUGCCAGCAGCCGCGGUAAUACGUAGGGGGCAAGCGUUAUCCGGAUUUACUGGGUGUAAAGGGAGCGUAGACGGCGAUGCAAGUCUGAAGUGAAAGGCGGGGGCUCAACCCCCGGACUGCUUUGGAAACUGUAUGGCUGGAGUGCAGGAGAGGUAAGUGGAAUUCCUAGUGUAGCGGUGGAAUGCGUAGAUAUUAGGAGGAACACCAGUGGCGAAGGCGGCUUACUGGACUGUAACUGACGUUGAGGCUCGAAAGCGUGGGGAGCAAACAGGAUUAGAUACCCGUGUAGUC